rnacentral:rRNA from 1 species
GACGAACGCUGGCGGCGUGCUUAACACAUGCAAGUCGAACGGAAAGGCCUGCUUUCCCUUGUGGAUUGCGGGUACUCGAGUGGCGAACGGGUGAGUAACACGUGAGUGAUCUGCCCCCAACUUGGGUAUAAGCCUGGGAAACUGGGUCUAAUUCCCGAUAGGACUGCAGGGUGGUGCCUGUGGUGGAAAACGAUUUUCUAGUGGUUGGGGAUGAGCUCGCGGCCUAUCAGCUUGUUGGUGGGGUAAUGGCCUACCAAGGCGGCGACGGGUAGCCGGCCUGAGAGGGUGGACGGCCACAUUGGGACUGAGAUACGGCACAGACUCCUACGGGAGGCAGCAGUGGGGAAUAUUGCACAAGGGGCGGAAGCCUGAUGCAGCGACGCCGCGUGGGGGAUGACGGCCUUCGGGUUGUAAACUCCUUUCGACCGCGAGGAAGCCACCUGGUUGGAAGGGUGGUGACGGUAGUGGUAGAAGAAGCACCGGCUAACUACGUG